rnacentral:misc_RNA from 1 species
GAUGAAGAACGUAGUGAAAUGCGAUACGUAAUGUGAAUUGCAGAAUUCAGUGAAUCAUCGAGUCUUUGAACGCACAUUGCGCCCCCUGGUAUUCCGGGGGGCAGGCCUGUCCGAGCGUCAUUGCUGCCCUCAAGCACGGCUUGUGUGUUGGGCCUCCGUCCUCCUCCCGGGGGACGGGCCCGAAAGGCAGCGGCGGCACCGCGUCCGGUCCUCGAGCGUAUGGGGCUUCGUCACCCGCUCUUGUAGGCCCGGCCGGCGCUUGCCGACACAUCAAUCUUUUUUCCAGGUUGACCUCGGAUCAGGUAGGGAUACCCGCUGAACUUAAGCAUAUCAAUAAGCGGAGGA